rnacentral:rRNA from 1 species
UACGUAGGGUGCGAGCGUUGUCCGGAAUCAUUGGGCGUAAAGCGCGCGUAGGCGGCCCUGUUAGUCCGCUGUAAAAGUCAAAGGCUCAACCUUUGAAUGCCGGUGGAUACUGCAGGGCUAGAGUCCGGAAGAGGCGAGUGGAACUCCUGGUGUAGCGGUGGAAUGCGCAGAUAUCAGGAAGAACACCAACGGCGAAGGCAGCUCGCUGGGACGGAACUGACGCUAAGGCGCGAAAGCGUGGGGAGCGAACAGG